GUUCCUGUCUGUUCCUCUCUGUCUGUUCCUGUCUGUUCCUGUCUGUUAAUAAGUGUUCCUGUCUGUUUCUGUUCCAGGAGGAGAUUUCUCCGGGAGUCCCUAUUCCCACCCUCAGUAUUCCACAUACAACGAGUCCUGGAGAUUUCCAAACCCCAGCCUGUUAGUGUUCCAACAGGACUAUGGGUCUCUCCUGGGGACGGAGAUCGGAUGUUCCUCUGGGCUCUUCACCGCCAGCCAGACGGGACAGAUGCAAGGGUCGCCGUACUACUACAGCACGGCAUCGCGAGGGGCGGGACCGGCUGCCACGGCAACUGCCUCCGCCUACGACCGCCACUGACCCCGCCCAUCAACGAUGAAGAGGAGGAUGAGGAAGAGGAGGAAGAAAGGAGAGAUAGCACCAGCACUGUCCAAUACUAGCCUGCCUACUGACGGAGGAGAAACAGGAAGGAGGGAAGGAGAAAGGAGAGGAAGAGGAGGAAGUGGAUGAAGAGGAAGAUGAGGACGAGGAGGAGGAAGAUGAGGAGUAACAGAAAGGAGAGAAGGGGAGAGGAGGAGGAAGUGGAUGAUGACGAGGAGGAGGAUCUGCUUUACAUCAGUAAACUCCCGACUGCACACUUUUGAUUGACACUCGAUCCGACCAAUCCCUGCUGAGCUGAGACACUGACCUAUUGCUAUUGCACCUGUUAUGAUAACGUGGAUGGAUGUACCCACAGAGACUGAUCCCAGGUCAGAUUAGACAUUUUACCACCUAAUGGGUAGGGUUAGGAUCUGGGGAGGGCAAGCUGAUCCCAGGUCAGAUUACACAUUUUACCACCUAAUGGGUAGGGUUAGGAUCUGGGGAGGGCAAGCUGAUCCCAAGUCAGAUUGUUGGUAUAUACACCCGGACUGUCGUCCCAGAGCUCUCCUAGUUGUCAUCCUGCCCCUCUGACCAGGGACUGAUUCAGACCUGGGACACCAGAUCUCAUAAUAAUAUGAUAAUAUUCACCGUUCUGUCAGAACCUGGAGGGCUGGAAAGGGAAAAGAAUCAGGGUCGUGCAUCCCAAAUGACACCCCUACGUAGUGCACUACUUUUGACCAGGGCCCAAUGGGGCAACAGUGCACUAUAUAGGGAAUAGGUUGCUUAGUGACACCCAAUGAGGUCGUUCCAAAGGCAAACCCUUUUCUGACACACCUUCCUGUUUCUGUCUGUAUUCUACCUGGACUUGUUUCAAUGCCUUUUAAAACAAAAUCACCUCUUCAAAUGCAUUUCAUACACAAUAGAAAUAUAUAGUCUUUGUUUUCUAAAGACAAGACGCAUCAUUUCUCUCAUCGUAUUACCACCGCAAACAAUCAGUC